GACGAACGCUGGCGGCGUGCCUAAUACAUGCAAGUCGAGCGCAGGAAGCUGACGGAACUCUUCGGAGGGAAGACAGUGGAAUGAGCGGCGGACGGGUGAGUAACACGUAAGGAACCUGCCUCAAGGAUUGGGAUAACUCCGAGAAAUCGGAGCUAAUACCGGAUAGUUCAACGGACCGCAUGGUCCGCUGAUGAAAGGCGCUCCGGCGUCACCUUGAGAUGGCCUUGCGGUGCAUUAGCUAGUUGGUGGGGUAACGGCCCACCAAGGCGACGAUGCAUAGCCGACCUGAGAGGGUGAUCGGCCACACUGGGACUGAGACACGGCCCAGACUCCUACGGGAGGCAGCAGUAGGGAAUCUUCCACAAUGGACGAAAGUCUGAUGUAGCAACGCCGCGUGAGUGAUGAAGGUUUUCGGAUCGUAAAACUCUGUUGUAAGGGAAGAACACGUACGAGAGGAAAUGCUCGUACCUUGACAGUACCUUACGAGAAAGCCACGGCUAACUUCGUGCCAGCCGCCGCGGUAA
rnacentral:rRNA from 1 species